GCCGCCCUACGGGAGGCAGCAGUGGGGAAUAUUGCACAAUGGGGGAAACCCUGAUGCAGCGACGCCGCGUGAGCGAUGAAGUAUUUCGGUAUGUAAAGCUCUAUCAGCAGGGAAGAAGAUGACGGUACCUGACUAAGAAGCCCCGGCUAACUACGUGCCAGCAGCCGCGGUAAUACGUAUGGUGCAAGCGUUAUCCGGAUCUACUGGGUGUAAAGGGAGCGCAGGCGGUGCGGCAAGUCUGAUGUGAAAGCCCGGGGCUCAACCCCGGGACUGCAUUGGAAACUACCGAACUAGAGUGUCGGAGG
rnacentral:rRNA from 1 species